rnacentral:rRNA from 1 species
GACGAACGCUGGCGGCGUGCUUAACACAUGCAAGUCGAACGGAAAGGCCCUGCUUGCGGGGUGCUCGAGUGGCGAACGGGUGAGUAACACGUGGGUGAUCUGCCCCUUUCUUUGGGAUAAGCCUGGGAAACUGGGUCUAAUACUGGAUAGGACCAUGCUGUAGGUGGGGUGGUGGAAGGAUUAGUUUCGGUAAGGGAUGAGCUCGCGGCCUAUCAGCUCGUUGGUGGGGUAAUGGCCUAUCAAGGCGUCGACGCGUAGCCGGCCUGAGAGGGGGGGCGGCCACAUUGGUACUGAGGUACGGCCCAGACGCCUACGGGAGGCAGCAGUGGGGAAUAUUGCACAAUGGGCGCAAGCCUGAUGCAGCGACGCCGCGUGGUGGAUGACGGCCGUCGGGUUGUAAACUCCUUUCAGCCAUGACGAAGCCCUUGUGGUGACGGUAGUGGUAGAAGAAGCACCGGCUAACUACGUG